CCUGUUCUUUGACUUUGCCCUCUUUUUACUGUUGUAGACUGUAGUAGAAACAUAAAAAUGAUAUAUUUUAAGAAGAAACAUAAAAUAAAAAAACUGAUAUAUUUUUAUAUUUCUUGUGUUUAGUGAACAUUUGUUAGAUUUUUUCAUAAAUUUUUUCAUUGUGUGACUAUGACUGCAUUGUUAGCUAAGGUUGCGGCCAUGGCACUUGCUCAGCACCCAGUUGUGAAUACUACAUGUAAAGAUGGGAAGAGUUUUACUUAUAAUAGCAGUAUAAAUAUUGCAGUUGCUGUGGCAAUUAAUGGUGGGUUGAUAACCCCUGUUCUUCCAAGGUGGUUUGGUGGAUUCCUUUCAUGUAUUCACAUUUCUUCCUCGUAAUUGAAAAGGGUGAACCAAGUUUCCAUCUAUUUGGUUUUAUAAUGUGUCAUGGUGCUACAGCUGCAAGGGCAUUAAAGUCUCUGCUUCAAGGCAUUUUGCUGUCCUCAGAAGGGGAAAAACUAAAUUCUAUGAACCUUCUGUUAUACAUGGCACCAAUAGCUGUUUAGUUCUUAAUUCCUGCUACAUUGUUGAUGGAGGAAAACAUGGUUGGGAUCAUAAUAGCUCUUGCCAGAGAUGAUAUCAAAAUAAUCUUUUAUUUACUCUUCAAUUCUGCCUUGGCAUAUUGUGUGAACUUGACCAAUUUCUUGGUCACCAAACACACCAAUGCUCUGACUCUCCAGGAUUGAGGAAAAUAAAUAUAUAUAAGAACUCAUCAUCUGUGGGGCACCUCUGUGAGAAAGUAUCUAAGCUAUACCCAAAACACUAAAAAUCGCUGGAUGGUUACCAAAAACUGCUCUAAUCUGGCUUCUUGUUGAGUAUUCAAAUCAAGCUUCUUCCUCUAUUUUGUCAGGGUUGAGAAAGAAAUAGAAGAGAGAAGAAAGAUCUCCUUUCACAAGGUUGGAAUAUCCGUGGCACCCCCAGUCAGUUUUCAGGACAUCGUUGCUUCCCACGGAGACUCUGAAGAGGAUAUUGUGGGGUGUCAGUUGCUUACAGAGGCAGUUAAGAAGGUGCAAAUUCAGGUAAAUUGGUCAUAAUGUUCAUGCAAUUACUCAUAUUGGCAUUUUUUCAUUGACAAACUAAUUCCCUGCAAGUUUGCAUCCUUUUGUUAUCUAUCCUUUCUCCUUUAGCACUGUAGGUUCUGUGACAUAACCGUACACUUUAGAUAACUAUUGCAUUGAAUUUAUGUACCAGUUUAUUUGCUUGAAUUUGAUUUGUCCCGGCCUUCUUUGCAUGCUUUUUCUCCCCCAACUUCAUGUAAAACUAAGAUGAAAGAGGAAAACAGACAAAUGAACAAGUCACAGCCAUGAUUCUUUUCCUUUUCUUUUUUUUU